CCAGGACAUGGCCACAGGUUGUUCAAAGCGAAAUCCGAGCCCGAACGCUGUGGAGGUCCUCUCGCCCUGGGGAAGUCUCGCGUCACGGCUGCCCCGCGACUUCGAGUUGAUCCAGGCGCUUCAGCCCGUGAUUGCGGUCCCCUAACAGAACGAGUGGCGGCGGAGUUGCCUGGCAGCGGGGGCGGAAAUUCAGCUCCACGGGUUGGCGCCCUUGAUUUCAUACCUGCUGCUCGGGUCGAUGUCGAAGCCAGAUUCACGAAAUCGAGUGCGUCGACUGUGGAAGAAGGCCACUCAGACGAGAAAAACACUUCGUGGGCAUACCGAAUCUCCCCUUUCCUUAGUACCGCUGGUGUCAGGUGGCCACGGUUUGCAUUUAUGAAAGACUGUGGGUCCGGACCCAGUGUCCGUGCCUCGUCGAAACUGUGGAUGUGGGAAACUGAAGCAGGACGGUGACGCACAAGAGUGCUUUCCGGCACGUUACCGGUAGGCAUCUGCCCGUCUGUUUCUGCAGUGGUCGCCCCAGACACAUUUAACCUGACCGUUCCAGGAGCUCCGCUGCCGUCCUUAGGCACCGCUUUACAAUGGGGAGACAGCAGUUCCUCUUUUGACAACGCAGUCAGCCGGUGGGUCACUCUCGACAAAUUUAUUUCGCUUGAACUUGUUUCCAGCGAAGAUCCCUCAAGCAGACUCGCGACCGAC
rnacentral:lncRNA from 1 species